AGCAGCCGCGGUAAUUCCAGCUCCAAUAGCGUAUAUUAAAGUUGCUGCAGUUAAAAAGCUCGUAGUUGAAUUUCGGGACUAAUAUGUCGGUCGUGCCUCGGUACGUACUGGUUUAUUGGUUUCUCCUUUCUGAAGAACCAUGAUGUCAUUUAUUUGGUGUCGUGGGGAAUCAGGACUGUUACUUUGAAAAAAUUAGAGUGUUUAAAGCAGGCUCACGCUUGAAUACAUUAGCAUGGAAUAAUGAAAUAGGACGUUUGAUUCUAUUUUGUUGGUUUCUAGGAUCGACGUAAUGAUUAAUAGGGAUAGUUGGGGGCAUUAGUAUCCAAUUGUCAGAGGUGAAAUUCUUGGAUUUAUUGAAGACUAACUACUGCGAAAGCAUUUGCCAAGGAUGUUUUCAUUAAUCAAGAACGAAAGUUAGGGGAUCGAAGACGAUCAGAUACCGUCGUAGUCUUAACCAUAAACUAUGCCGACUAGGGAUCGGAUGAUGUUAAUUUUUAAUGACUCAUUCGGCGCCUUAACC
rnacentral:rRNA from 1 species